UAAAAAGGAAAAGAAAAGGUGAGGACAACGAAGGAAAGUCCAGAAUCCCAAUCGUCAUCCUCUCUCUAUCUCACUCGCCCUCAACGAAAACUCCCUCUGCUCUCGCGUCCUCAAUCGAUCUCUCAAAUCACAACCUCACUCAAUCGCUCAACCUCGCUCAUCAACGCUCAACCUCACUCACUUCUCUCACAAUCUCACUCAAUCUCGUUCCCAAUCACCCACAUCUCAACCAAACGCGACCUCACGUUUGCUCUCAAAGUCUCUCUCUCGAUCUCGCUCUCAAUCCCGUUCUCAAUCAAACUCAGAUGCUCAACAACGCUAAACAAAAGACAAGCACAAAUCUGCGGUUUCAAAGAGACAUCAAGCGGGAAUCUCACCUCUGGCCACGACAAUGAAUCAGGGUUUCCAAGGGGGUCUUUGAUGUUCAAAAGAGGCGUUCCUGCAAAGCACUUUCUUUGUGCUCAGUAUCGGAUUGGUCCCUUUGAUGUAUGGGUUCGUAACAGUGACUUUCUCUUGUCAGAAAACUCAGUUGGUUUGUGAAUGAGGACUCAAAAGGUCGAUGGUUCUUUGGCUGUAGCAGACUUUGAUGUCCACUUAAUCCACUUCAUGGGACAAAUUGUUCAUGGCCUGUGAUGUGCUUAGUUAGGAAAUCCAAUGGCUAUCACUAAACCAUGCCCUGUUACAUUGCAUUUAUGCAGGCUGUGGUUGAUGCUCACACUUUGCAUGCUUAUGUUCCUGCAGCUACUACCUUGGCUUGAUGAUGAGCAGGAGUACUGCAGGAUGAUGCUUGCAAGACUCAUGUGGCUUUUGUGGAUGCAACAUAGGACUGUGAUUUGUGUGAUGCUUGACCAGUCUUGUCAUGUUUGGGUUUUGUAGGCUUGCUGCAUAAGGGUGAUUGAGGUCUGCAAUUGGCCAAAUUCUAUUUGGUAUUGUGCUAACCGAUUCUUGUAGGUUGUUGCAGGAUUGGAUCAUGUUGAAUGCUGCAGAUGCUGCUGGAUCCAACUUCUGAUACAGCCUAGAUGUGGCCCCUAUUUUUGUAGUAAGUUCAGGGAUGAUGGCUACUCAUGAUGCAGUCUUGUCGUGCUUAACCUGUUUUAAGUUCUUGUUGCAGCUGGCUAAGUGAUGCACAUGUGGACUUGCAAUAGGUAUUGUUGACCAUUGUGGUUAUGUUUUGUAGCAGGUCUGGAUGGGUUACAAAAUUGUAGGCUCACUCGAAUGCGUUAGUUUGGCAUGUUUUAGGUUUGCAGACAGGUUCAUAAGCCUGAUGGUUGAAGCUGGUUAUCCAGUUGGUAGGUGAAUCCUUGCAUUGCAGAAUGGUUGAGUUGCAGAAGAGGGAUGAUAAGCCACUGCUAACAUACUGUCAAGAUUGGAACUGAAGGUUCUACUUGUUUUCUUGAUUUCUUCAUCUUUUGUCACACUCUGAAUCUUCGCCAAACUAGUAUCGGCAUUUUUUUUGAAACCUGGCAGUAUCUGCGCCGAAUUUCUUUCUGUCGAAACGAAAGCCGGCGAACAAAGAGUCGUUGGACAUGGUGACGGCAGGGUUUAUAUCAGAGCUUGCAGUGUUGUAUGUAGCAGGCCCACAACGGCAACAAAACCUGCAGAACUUGUAUGCAGCAAACCCUUUUGUCAACAGAGGCACAUGCUCAAGAUUUGACGAAACUUUCUCACAUGCUUUCUCAACAUUAACUCCUGCGCUACUACAAUCUUCCGGUUGACCCUGUCAUGGAAGCAGAAGAACUUAUGAUAUUUGUGGCAACACUUUACUCAACUGAGUUGUAGCAGUACUCUUUACUGUUUUUGAUCUUUCUUGACUGUAGAAUCAAACAACUUUGAAUUGCUAAC